ACUAUAAGAGAAGUGUGUUGUGACACCACAGCGACCAUGCCCAUCCAAGUGCCCCUGGCCAUUGGACCACCAAGUUUGGCGGAGACCGAGAGGAGCACUUCUUCAAUCAUGUGUCUGAAGUUUUGACCUUGUAGAGCUCAGAACAGGGAUUCACCAUUCAUCCUCUCCUCGACAAAUCCUAAUGAAAGCACUCCACUUAACCACUGGAGCUCCCUUCUGGUUUAAUGAGGAUGACAUGCUGCAUAUCUGGAGAUGGUGGUGGAUCACGCUGAUGGAGCGUUCCCAGAGACUAACCAAUCAUGAAACACUCGCUAUGAUAACUGCAUCUCUUCUAUAUAUGGAUGUUUAAAGUCCUGGACAGAGAUUUGCCCACUGGACCAGUGAAGCCAGAGUGUUGCUCCAAGGGACUCUGCAGCCGAUAUACAGGAUCCCAGAGG